rnacentral:lncRNA from 10 species
GAACUCUGGUGAAGACAUUAAAGAGUUUAUUUUUCAGGAAAAUAUUCUCCCCAAAGAAAGCUUACUGCAAGAGCCAGAGGUGGCAGGAAAGAAGGAAAAAGGGACAGGUUUUGCCAGAUUACAGAAGAAUUCCUUUUUGGAUAAAGAAUAGAAUGCCGACUUUGAUGCUAGCUGGACUUGUCCACCAGUCAAUAUAAAACAAGGAAACAUUGUCAUUUAAACAGUUCCAGUAGGAGCUCCGGACAGAGCAACACUGCAUUUUAAGGGGGAAAUUGUACACCCAUGCCAUGGUAUUUGAGAAUCUAGGGAUUCAUGAUGCUCUCCGGAUCUUUCCAUCAUGGGUAUCAAAGGUUUACUGUCAUCACCUAGAGGCAGAAGGCUAUAUGCUGGUCCAGGACUUUGGCACUGGAGAGACCUGAGUUCAAAUCCCAGCUCCACUAGUGUAUAGGUUGAAGAGAGACCCUGCAAACAAGCCCAAGGCAUGUUAAGAGUGAUAAUAGCUAAGAUCUACUGACCACUUAAUAUUGUGCCGAGUACUCU